CUUGUUCUUCAACCUCGCUUCGCCUUCACUCACUCUCUCUCCAUCGCCAUGAAAAUCUCUUGAAGAUUAUCUAUAUCGGAGGCUUGAUAAUCUUCCAUAUCUGUCUUAGAUAUCGAAUAUGGUUUCUCUGGAGGAUUCUCACUCCAAUUCCAAUCGUUUCCCUUUGACCCGAAGCUAUUACUCUACUACUACUUCCGUCAACAAUUCUUCGUCCAGAAUCCAGCGACACACUGGAAGGUCUAUGCGAACUAUACGCUCUAAUUUCUUCCAGGAUGACCAUAGCUGCUCCUUCACCACGGCCACCGAGAAAUCCACUUGCCUGUCGGAAAACAUGACCGAUUCGGUCAUAGACCUGAGGCUUGGCGAGCUUGCAUCGAAGAACAACAAAUCUGCCAAGUCUUCUGCUACGGAGGAGGAGUUGCUUGAUCUUUCUCAAGCUUUCAGUGAUUUCUCGGCUUGUAGCAGCGAUAUUUCCGGGGAGCUGCAGAGGCUGGCGAGUUUACCGUCUCCGGAAAAUGUGUUGAAGAGCGAUGCCAGUCGUGAAGCAGAGAAGGAGCCGGAGCCGGAGCCGUGCCUGGGGUUUCUGCAGAGAGAGAAUUUCUCUACCGAGAUCAUUGAGAGUAUUUCGCCGGAGGAUCUUCAGCCGACGGUGAAGAUCUGUAUCGAUGGGCUACAGUCACAGUCGGUUGCUGUGAAGCGAUCUGCUGCGGCUAAGCUCAGGCUGCUGGCGAAGAAUCGAGCGGAUAAUCGAGCUCUGAUCGGUGAGUCUGGUGCGGUUCCCACUUUGGUUCCCCUGCUUCGUUGCAGUGAUCCGUGGACGCAGGAACACGCCGUCACGGCCUUGCUGAAUCUCUCGCUGCACGAAGAUAACAAGAUUCUGAUUACCAAUGCAGGAGCUAUAAAGUCACUGAUUUAUGUGCUCAAAACCGGAACAGAGACUUCGAAGCAGAACGCGGCAUGUGCGCUUCUGAGCCUUGCGUUAGUUGAAGAAAACAAGAGCUCUAUCGGGGCUAGUGGGGCAAUACCACCGCUUGUUUCCUUGCUAUUGAGUGGUUCGAGCAGGGGAAAGAAGGACGCUCUGACGACUCUCUACAAGCUCUGCUCUAUAAGGCCAAAUAAGGAGAGGGCAGUGAGCGCCGGAGCAGUGAAGCCGCUUGUGGAGAUGGUGGCAGAGCAAGGAACGGGUAUGUCUGAGAAGGCAAUGGUGAUACUUAAUAGCUUGGCCGCGAUUCCGGAAGGGAAGGAAGCAAUUGUUGAUGAAGGCGGAAUAGCUGCUCUUGUUGAGGCGAUUGAAGAUGGCUCUGUGAAGGGGAAGGAAUUUGCUGUUUUGACACUUUUACAGCUAUGUGCUGACAGUGUGAGGAAUAGAGGAUUGCUUGUGAGGGAGGGUGGAAUACCCCCUCUGGUUGCUCUUUCUCAGACCGGAAGUGUUAAAGCUAAGCACAAGGCAGAAACGCUCCUUGCAUAUUUGAGAGAAUCAAGACAAGAAGCAUCCACUUCAAGUCCUUAGAGAAUUAGUUGCUGCCUAGGAAGGAAAAGGUCGGGAAUGUAAAUUUGGAAUCUUUCCCUGUUGACACCGGCACGUGAUUGUUAAGAUUGAGAAAGUCUCAAGUGCACGCCUCUUGUAGUAUUAGCGAAUAAGAGUACGAUCAAAACAGCUGUAGAUUCUCACAAUCUCCUUUGAUUUUAUGAUUCAUUAUUGGGUUUUGCUACCUGAAAAUCGUGUCAUGGUUUUCAGGAAAAGUUGAAGAAAACUAAGAAUGGCAUGAUCAAAGUUGAAGAUAAGCAGCCAAGACCAAAGUCUUGAGCCACCUGAAGAAAAUGAGUUUUCUCAAAACUCUGAUUUUUCUUCUCGGCUGCCGAAUGCCUGGCUUUAGGUUUUUCCAAGUUAUAAAACAUCUUCCCAGGCCAGAAGAAAUAUUCGUUAAAUAAUAAAUGAUGAGGGUAUGGGGUCCACACAGCUGCGUUGUCAUUGUUGGGGAGGGGGGCUCACCCAAUGCAUGCUUGCAUCGGAGCAUCAAUCCAUCGACAUCCAAUUUGCAAAUGGGAUUUCUCUGCAUCCCAAGCCAAACAAAGCCCACAGCUAGCAGGUCAGGUCAGCUCAGGUGAGCCCCACCACCACAAGAUUACAUCAUCUUUGAGCAUAUUAUUUUCUCCAUUUGCCUGAUGUCAGCUCAUAUCACUAUCCUCGUUUUAAAAAUGCUGGGGGGUGUCUGUCUACUGUCUAAUGUCUACCCCCUUUCAAUUCAAAUCUUCUCUUCUUUGUCCUUCCUAAUAAUAAUAACUAAUUAGCUGGCGGAGCAGGUAGGCUUCGUCCUCCCCUUUCUUUGUUUAGGUUGUUGCACUUUCCAAACCAUCAAGUUUGAAUAAACCUGUGUCGGUGGACUUUAUCUUCAUCAUUCAUUAUCAACUUGAAAGGCUCUGUGUUUUGUACAUAUUUUGAUUGAUGCUUUGCAUCUAAAGAUCUGGCUGUUUUUGGUUAGUGGUACUGGCAGCAGUUUCCCUUCUCUUUAAAGCCAAAUAAAAUUUUACCCUGCUGGGUCAUCAUCCUUUGUACUGGAA